rnacentral:lncRNA from 1 species
AGACCACGCGACCACGCUUAAUAAAGUUGUUACGCGCAGUACAGAUCGUCGAAAUCACAGCAUCAGCAGCAAGUCUUAGACUUUUCAAGUACAGUGUUGGAAGUUACCUCAGCUGGUGAAGAAUCCAGUGAUUGCGAACAAGUAGUACCUACUAAAUGAAGUGAACUCAAAUCCGACUCAAAUAUUCAGUGACAACCUACGUAUGUGAACUGCUAGACCCAGUAAUUUCCUACAAUAAGAAGAAUUCCAAAAUCCAGUUUACAUGGGGAUUUGUGUGGAUUACAGUUCCACAUCAGGCAACAAAAUAUCAAAGUCAGAGAGGAGAACAUCAACGUUGGAGUGAAAAAGUGCUGAAUAGACAAAUGGCAACCCGUUUUUGCUCCAUUUUCAAGGUUCAAUGGAGAAAUAAGAUUUAGAAUCUUUGGGUCAUGACCAAUAUGGGAACAAAUGCUAGUUCAUUGCAAAACUAAAUGAACGUUGGUGCAGUUUGGACCUAGACGGUAUUUGAAAAGCCCCUUUAUCAUGAGCUAUAUACUAUCUGAGGCAGAAAAUUUCCUGGUUAGUAAAAAUGCUUCUCUAGUUAGUGCGAGUGCUACGCCAGGUGUAUAAUGCAAGGCUGUCACUGCGUCGAACUGGAUUGUUGGGACGGUUUGGACGGAAUACCUGUUUCUAGUCGUUGUGAAGACGAUCAAACAAAAAAUUUCUCCUUUCCCGGUCAUUUUGAAGAUCGAGAACUACUGUUCACUCCCGCAGCAAUUCAAAAUUUGUUUCCACAAGUCCGUUACUUAUCUUCAUUCUCACGUGGGGAAAACGAGUUCCCUCAUGUUGAACAGGCAGAAGCUGUCGCGUUACUUCUUAAGGUUCUAAAAUCCGGUUUCGCGAUCAUCGGGACCCAUUUACUAUCCAUUUCAGGAGUAAUAAUUUUACUUUCUGGUUACUAUCAAGAUUAUCCGAUAUCUUCGUCCACUGCCAGAAAGUUGAUGAUCCUCCUGUUGAAGAUUCCCACUUCUUUAUGUGGUAUUACUAGGU